CGUGGGAGACAGUGCUCAGCUAAAACAGAAAGGAAGCACCCUGCAGAGCCCAGGAACACCGAGCAUGCAGCAGGGGUGCCCAGGAAAGGGGCUGAAUUUGCUUCUUUAGUAAAGACAUGGUGAAACCAUUGUUGAAGGUCAGCAGGAUGGUGGCAGAAGAUUUCCUGUGUAUGAUUUGUAGUCUGUUGGACAUUGUCAGAUUUGGACUUUGAGGACUUUAUCUUUGGGUUUGGAAGACUUAAGUUGGUUUUAAUAAUUGAGCCCAGACAUGUAACCAAAGUGCAGAAUCUGUGAAGUUCCCUGCUCAAGAGCCUGAGGGAGAAACUGAGGCAGAGCACUGCAGUGCCAGAUCUUGCUCUAAGGAGCUGAUACGUGAUGGUGGUCAGUGAUACUACUAACUGAAAGACUAAUCUACUUCAGCCCACCUGUCCUAGCUCUGAGAUGGAUACAACUGCCUAGGUAGAAAAUGGGUAACAUUCACUUCCAGUCAGUGGAGAACCUAGAGGAGACUCUGUCCAACAUACCCAUGUUCUUUAUCAGUGCAAAGGAGGUGGAUCUCUAGGUGUGAUCUGAAAGACAACCAUUUAGACCAGGAAAUGAAGAAAAUCCAGAUUCAAAAGAAACUACUGAGGCCAUCUGGGAGGUAAGAGAAAACAGCUGCAUCCACAAGGAGAGAGAAGAAAAGCGAAAACUGAAAAUGCAACUUCUAGCUGUGUCUUUCUUGCUUGCAACAUAGGUGCUGGGAAACCAGUGACAAGUCACAUGACUCUGUUAGACCCUCUGAGGGCUGGCAAACUUUUACCAAACUUGGGCUAAAACAUUGCACAGAGUUUUCCUUUUUAAUUGCAACAGUGUUGCAAAAGCUGUCUUGGCUGGCUAACCCAAACUCUUAUUAGACAAGAGGACAAAUAAGAUGGGGUAGGAAAGAUGACAUGCUCUGGUGAUGUUGAUAUCAAGAACCUCAAGCUCACAUCCCAGGAAGCUCAGGAUUCAGCUGAACACAUCGGAAGCAGAGAUGUUGUUUGGUACCCUCGCCUCACUUGAUCAGGAUGACUUUCAGGAUCAGAAAAGCAAAGGCCCAAUGGUGGGAAGAUAGAUGAGCAAGUUGGGGCUGGUGUCACCUAUGACCAUGAAGCAGAGCUUAGCACAAGCUGUUCAGUCUCAACUUGUCAAACUAGUUUAGCUGGAACAAGUUUCUCAGUGACUUCCAGAAAAGCAGUGGGCAAAA